UACGGAGGGUGCAAGCGUUAAUCGGAAUUACUGGGCGUAAAGCGUGCGUAGGCGGUUCGUUAAGUCAGAUGUGAAAGCCCCGGGCUUAACCUGGGAACUGCAUUUGAAACUGGUGGACUUGAGUUGAGUAGAGGGGAGUGGAAUUUCAGGUGUAGCGGUGAAAUGCGUAGAUAUCUGAAGGAACACCAGUGGCGAAGGCGACUCCCUGGACUCAAACUGACGCUGAGGUACGAAAGCGUGGGUAGCAAACAGG
rnacentral:rRNA from 1 species